GCCGGUAUAGCUCAGUUGGUAGAGCAACUGAUUUGUAUUCAGUAGGUCCCGAGUUCGAAUCUUGGUGCCGGCACCA
rnacentral:tRNA from 1 species